rnacentral:rRNA from 1 species
AACGAACGCUGGCGGCAUGCCUAACACAUGCAAGUCGAACGAGACCUUCGGGUCUAGUGGCGCACGGGUGCGUAACGCGUGGGAACCUGCCCUUAGGUUCGGAAUAACUCCCCGAAAGGGGUGCUAAUACCGGAUAAUUUCUUCGGACCAAAGAUUUAUCGCCUUUGGAUGGGCCCGCGUUGGAUUAGCUAGUUGGUAGGGUAAAAGCCUACCAAGGCGACGAUCCAUAGCUGGUCUGAGAGGAUGAUCAGCCACACUGGGACUGAGACACGGCCCAGACUACUGCGGGAGGCAGCAGAGGGGAAUAUUGGAAAAUGGGCGAAAGCAUGAACCAGCAAUGCCGGGUGAGUGAUGAAGGCCUUAGGGUUGUAAAGCUCUUUUACCCGGGAUGAUAAUGACAGUACCGGGAGAAUAAGCACCGGCUAACUCCGUG